rnacentral:rRNA from 1 species
GAGUUUGAUCCUGGCUCAGAUUGAACGCUGGCGGCAUGCCUUACACAUGCAAGUCGAGCGGCAGCAUGAUCUAGCUUGCUAGAUUGAUGGCGAGUGGCGAACGGGUGAGUAAUACAUCGGAACGUGCCCUGUAGUGGGGGAUAACUAGUCGAAAGAUUAGCUAAUACCGCAUACGACCUGAGGGUGAAAGUGGGGGACCGCAAGGCCUCAUGCUAUAGGAGCGGCCGAUGUCUGAUUAGCUAGUUGGUGGGGUAAAGGCCCACCAAGGCGACGAUCAGUAGCUGGUCUGAGAGGACGAUCAGCCACACUGGGACUGAGACACGGCCCAGACUCCUACGGGAGGCAGCAGUGGGGAAUUUUGGACAAUGGGCGAAAGCCUGAUCCAGCAAUGCCGCGUGUGUGAAGAAGGCCU